UACGGGGGGAGCAAGCGUUGUUCGGAUUUACUGGGCGUAAAGGGCGCGUAGGCGGUCAGCACAAGUCAGUUGUGAAAUCUCCGGGCUUAACUCGGAAAGGUCAACUGAUACUGUGCGACUAGAGUGCAGAAGGGGCAACUGGAAUUCUCGGUGUAGCGGUGAAAUGCGUAGAUAUCGAGAGGAACACCAGUGGCGAAGGCGACUUACUGGACUGUAACUGACGCUGAGGCAUGAAAGCGUGGGGAGCAAACAGG
rnacentral:rRNA from 1 species